CAACAACCAGCUGCUUCCUGCUCUCCUAGUGGCUAUCACCCUGACUACUCAGUCGGAUACGCUGAUCCGAUCGAUCAGGAUCCAUACUGGAGAGCAGGUGAUGUUCCAGAGUCCCGGACGAGUGACCUGGGCAUAGAGAAAGAGGAACUGGACGCUAUAUUAGAGCUGGCGUUGGACAUGCAGGAUGAAGUUGAUGUCCGGACGUUGCUGCAGCUAUCACUCACCUGUUAAGACAGCUUGAGUGGGUGUUACGAACCCGUAGUGGUGCUACGAAAAAUAAUCUGCCAAACAAAAUGAAUCAAAGAGACAGAGACUGAAUGCAGUCGAUACAAAAAAAAAUCAUUUGUAAAAUAGACAUUUGAUUGAAUGACAGUUUAUAGUUUUUAUGUGUAUUUUAGGAAAAUAUAAGAUGUAAAUUAUGUCCAAGUCACUUGAGAGCAUUACUGUAAAUUAAUGUAAUCCUACAGCUCUCUAGAUUAUUUGUUGUAAUAAUAAUAUGAAGGAGAAUUGUGUUUCACAUUUUUUUAGACCUGAAUGUUAUAAAUGUUAGGAAGA
ensembl:lncRNA